ACCCUUUCUAUUUUCAAGGUCCUGGUGGUGGUGGUGGUGGUGGUAACAGUCCAAGCCCUGCCUUCACCCUCAUCACGCUACACCCUUACACCAGAAAAGGACUCCACCCCCUACCAGUAUUCCUACGGCGUGAAGGACUUCUCAGCCAACACCAAAUUCGGAAAGACUGAGGACUCAAAUGGACAGACCGUCAAGGGACACUAUUUUGUGGCCCUACCUGACGGGAGGCUACAAACGGUGGAGUAUGUAGCGCACCCUACACACGGUUAUCAAGCACAGGUAAGGUACAAGGGCCUAGCCAGGUACCCCUCUAAGCUACCCACACCUGGUCCACACACACACUCACCUGUACCGUCUAAAAGUGAACCAGUGAAC